CCUGAUCUUGUGAUCUGCCUACCUCGGCCUCCCAAAGUACUGGGAUUACAGGCGUGAGCCACUGCGUCCGGCCUGGACUAUGGUUUUUAAUCACUUCAUGUUCUCAUCAUUCUUUUUUGAUGUAAUAUUCAAAUGUCCUUGUACCGUUUAAAGCUUUGUGUCUGGAACAUAACUUAAUAUAUUUGAAAGGUAGAAUUAAGCUGGCGCUAUCCACCAUUUGUCCUGGACCUUAUGUUUCCAUUAAAGCAGCCUGAGAUCACCACAUCCCAUGGUUGACCAUUAAGUGGCAGCAUCCAUCUUUUUUUUACCAUCAUUCCAUAGUUAACUGGCUGAUUACUGAACCUCAGUUCAAAAUUCCUAAUUUAUUCUUAAUCCUUUUUAUCAUUCCAGUCUGUUGAGAUUUUUGGGGGGAUCUUGUUUCUAUCAGCCAAUUUAUUAAAUCUGAGAAUGGUAGAGCAUGAGGGCUUCUCUAGAAAUGUAGCUAAAGUAACUUCAGGAUACACAAAAAUGUAGAAAGUGAAUGAAGCAGUAACCUUAUGGAACCUAGUACUCAAGAGAUUGAUAUAGACUGAAAAUAUUAGUGAGCUUAAUAUGGAUCAAGGAGAGAUUAAAAGAUAUUUAGGAAAUUAUUCAACUUUUAAAUACAGUGUCCUAACCUUGUCCUGACAACACCACUGAGUAUCCUCACUGACAUACCUCAGAACAGAAACUGCGCAAACCAACACAUGCAAGGUCAUAACGGACACUCUAGCCUUCAUAGGCAAGGUGGCCUUGCCUGAUCUGGUUAUGGUCAGGCAAGAGGUCUUUUUUUUUUUAAUUAAAUACUUAUUUUUUAACAUGCAGGAAAACAGCUGGCUUCAUGCUCCAUGAAAUAUGUAGCUUCAGUUGAAUUCUCUUUUUUUAGAAGAAUUUUUAGAUCCAGUACUUUGUUUUCUUUAUCGGUGAAAGAGCAAUCAAUGCCUAGAUAUCUAUCUAUGAGCCCAAACUAUAAUGACUCUCAAAGACUCCCAGAUUUAUACCUUCUGGUGACCCCAUGAUUUAUAGUAACUCAUCCACUCCUGCCAUUCUAUGGGCUUUCACUGCUGCUUUAUUGAAACAGGAGUACUGACAGAAACUUUAUGCACUUGGAGGUUUUUAGGCUAUUUAAUUAGUCACUCAUUUCUAGAUCUUCAAAGGGCUGUAUGUGUGUGUGUUUGCAUGUGUGUGUGUUUUCUCGUUAGUCACACUGGCUCUUGUUGGAUUUGUGUGUGUUUUUGUUUGUUUGUUUUUUUUUUUUUCCAUUUGCACAAGGUCACAUUCAGAGCUCUUCCUCCCUUAGGAGAGGUUGCACAUUCGUCACUUCAUCUGCCUCCCAUUUCCUCCAGUUGGGAUCACACAGCCCUUCCUGAGACUAAGCUGAAAGCGUUUCCUCUCACCGGAGAGAGGGCCCUGCACAGCUGGGGGCCAGGCUGCUCAGCUCAAGCAAAAGCUGUCCCAAGAGGAACAAGUCACCAGCCAAGGAAGUCUGGAAGCUCAGAGAGGAAUUCAUUGAGGCCUUUACGGGCAGCAGCGGUCAGAACUAGGAUCAUAGACUGGGCCAUGAAGCUCGGUAAUUUAUUUGAUUAAUAGGAAGGACUAGACCGGAGACACCUAGAUUUUUGCAAAUAUAUUUUUCAAAUUGUGCAUAUAUUUACUGAAACUCUGUGUGGUUUUCAACAGCUUGGGUGUCUAAUCUUUCGCCCCAUAUUCCCAGCCUUCUAAAGCACUCCUGGCAGUAUUAAGAACUGGCCGGGCAUGGUGGCUCACACCUGUAUCCCAGCACUUUGGGAGGCUGAGGCGGGUGGAUCACAAGGUCAGGAGUUCAAGACCAGCCUGGCCAACAUAGUGAAACUAUGUUUCUACUAAAAAUACAAAAAAUAAUUAGCCAGGCCUGGUGGCAGGCACCUAUAAUCCCAGCUACUUGGGAGGCUGAGGCAGGAGAAUCACUUGAACUCGGGAGGCAGAGGUUGCAGUGAGCUGAGAUCACGCCACUGCACUCCAGCCUGGGUGACACAGUGAGACUCUAUCCCAAAAAAAAAAAACAAAAAAAAACUUCAGAACUUGGUUGAUCCUUGAAUCAUUUAUCUGUAGGUGACCUGUCAUCUGAAAGUGUGGCAGAGUUUUUCAGCAGCCUAUUAAUGUGCUUCUGGUAUAUGUCCUUCUUCGUCUUCUUUCUCCCUGGUACCUAGGGCACUUCAGAUGGGAACAGAAAUAAAGACUCAAAGUACAAUCUUUCCAUAUCCAAUGACUGUAUAAUUUAGCCCUAGGGUAAGGAAGACAGCCAGGAGAGGGGCAAGUAGGACCAGAGAGGACUGGGUAGAGGGAGUGGGGUCCUUAAAUCUGCCAUGAGGAAUAAGGAAUAGAGUAGAAGGGACUCAGUCAGGGCUGGGCUGUCUUUAAAGGUAAGCUCCACCUUACCACCAUCACCACCCCAUACCCUGUGCAGUCCUGGGUCCAGUGGCCCUGCAUAUCUCUAAGCCCUUGAAAUAAAGGUGGGCAACUUACCUGGACAAUUUAUAUGAGGAUAUGGGUAUGAUGAGGAAUACCUCUGCCUCCAAAUAAGAUGGAACUAAUUAGAGCUAGUUGGGAAUCUUUCUACAAGCUGGGCCAAAUGAUGGAUCCACCAGGAAGGCUGUCUCAGUUAUUAACCUUCUUAAAUGUAGGGACUGGUUGUUGUUGAAGACUAUAAAAAGCUGCAAUAGAAGAGAAAAAUUAAUGUAGUGGUCCGUGGAAUACAGAAGUCACAGUUUUUGAGGCAAAAUAUUCCGGAGUUUCUUCAUUUAAAAUAUGUAAGUCCAGUGUUGAUAUCCCUCUCUGUUCAAUCUGUACUCUCCUUGGGCAGUGUCUUCUAACUCCUUGGCCUUGUAGCCACUGGUGACUUCACAUGCUGGAUCUCUCUCCUGAGCUUCAGAUUUAGACAGUCUACUCCAUACUUGACAUGAGAAUUGCACAUGUGCUCAGACUGACCCAAAGGUAAUUCAUCCUUUACUCUGCUUGCCCUCUAGCCAAGGCCUCUUGGGUUACCCAUUGUAGUCACCAUUUACUUGGUCACUCAUGCCAGAAAAAUCAGUUAUCUUUGACUCUUUUCUUUCCUGUACUACCACCACUCCCCCUACCCCACCCCAUUCAUUUUGCCUCAGAAAUAUCUCUUCAUUCUGUCCACAUCUCUUUAUCUCUUUGGCCACCAAACUAGUCCAGGCUACCAUCUUUUUUUUUCAUCUAGCUACUACACUGGUCCUCUGACUGGCCUCUUGGCCUGGUUCAUUUCUCCUUGCAGUCCAUUCUCUAUAUACCAGUUUGCAUAAUGUGUCUAAAAAUAUGAUCUGAUCAUGUUUCUUGCCUGCCCAAAAGCUUUGAGUGGCUUCCUAUUGCAUUUCAGAUAAGAUCUAAAGUCCAACUCCAGCCUUGCUUGCUCCUUCCAGCCUCACCAGGGCAGAUAUGUCUUUCCACUUCACUUUUGUUUCCUCAGCACCUAGAACAAUGUCUAGCACAGGGUUGCCAUCCAUAAAUAGUGGUUGCAUAGAAGAAUGAAUGAACACAUGAAACACAGGAUUUCUAUGCAUUUGAGGAGAAUUAAGGAGAAUGGAGAAUGAGUGAAAGUCAGUAUGAAAACCUCUCAGUUCUUGUUCUAAGACUAAAAUGUUUUGAUUCCAGGACUGGCAGAGUUCAAUAUACUUGAGCAAGCAUUAUACAAACUGUAAGGAAUGGGACGGUCUCCAUUAUUCUGCCCCAUGGGCUCCUAUUCUAGGUGUGGGCAGCAUGUUGCCGGUGAGGUUGUCUACAGUGACUGGGCACUGACAGGUUUACAAGGUAAAGAGAAGAAAAGGCAAUUGGUAAGUUUAGUGUAGGGAUAAUUUGGUUUGGUUUGUUUUGUUUUUUCUGACCAGCAUCCAUUUCACGUCCUAACAAUACCCCAAUUUCCUUUUAAAGGAAGAUCUCUUUCCCGUUGGAUUUAGUCUUUGGGGGCUGUCAUUAAAAGCCUUCCUUCCCUUGAGGCCCACAUUAGGCCAAUCAAAUGCUUUCCCCCUAGAAUUAAACUCUUGAGCACAGAGACCAAGAAACUUAAAACAUUUGCUGUGUGGAGGUGACCUACCAGCCAUACCAUGCCUGCUAUGAGACUGCGGUAGUGGUUCCUGGUGACCAGUCACCCAUUAAUUAGCACAACAAUGGACUCCAAAUAGUCUCCUAAUAAAUUUCUUUUUCCAUAGUUUGGUCACAGUUCUUUCUGUUACUUGCAACUCCUAGUGUGAUAAAUUUGGUACAAAAUCAACAGAAUAUAGUUCUGGCCAACACAUACCAGGGCCUGUAUGGGGGUGGGGAGUCAGGGGAGGGAACUUAGAGGACGGGUCAAUAGGUGCAGCAAACCACCAUGGCACACGUAUACCUAUGUAACAAACCUACAUGUUCUGCACAUGUAUCCUAAGUUUGUUGUUUUUUUUUUUUUUAGAAGAAAUAAAGGAAACAAAAGUAAAAAAAGAAUAUAGUUCUGGCAUCUUUCAAUACUUUUGGCCAAAAACAAUUAUAUGAAUCCCAGAAUAAACAUCAGAUGUAAUUUGACUUUGGGAGUUCAAUUAUGACUGAUUUUCCUAAUAUGGAGAUAUGUAACAUUCCAAUGUGAAUCUUCUUAGAAAUUAGUAGUUCAAAAUAUCACUAUUUGGAUUGGUCAUUUAUAUCUAAAAGAAAUAAAUCAAAAACCACACUUUCAGCUCUUUUAUUGUAGCCAUAGUAAAAGGAGAGACUGAAAAUGAGCUCAAUCUUACUACUGAUCAGGUAACUAUAAAUCAAAAUAAAUAGCAUGCUCUUGCCAAUCAGUUCUGUCAAAAUUAAAAACACUGACAGUGUCCACUGUUGGUGAGAAUGUGAACAAAGGACAAUCUUUGUUGGUAGAAUGGUAAUUGGUCAAUCUUUCUGGAAAGCAGUGUGGCAGUGCCUAUCAAAAUUCAACAUGUAUACUCUUUAACUCAGCUGUUCUACUGUUAGAAAUAAGAGCCAAAGGACACAGGCAUAAGAAUCUGAUGCAGUAUUAAUUUAUUCUAUCAAAAUAUUAGAAACAAUGUAAAUGCUACUUACUAGGCUGAAUACAUUAAUGUAUAUUUUUACUAUGAUUUCAUGAUUCACUCUACAGCCAUUAAAAAGAGUGUGGUUGGUCUGUAUAUAAGUAGAAUCUACAAUAUAUUAGUUACAAAAACCAGUUACAGAAAAAUGUGAGUAGAAAAAUUCUUUUUUAAAAAACAAAGCUAUACACAGACUUUUUAUGGUAUGUGUAUGUGUAAAUACGUCUAAAUGUGCAUAGGAAAGAUCCAGAAGGAUUCAUACUGAACAACUGCCAGUGGUUACUCGUGAGGAAUGGGAGAGGAGCAAUGGAAUGGGAGAAUAGAGGGAAAGAAAGGGAAGCUUGAUUUUAUAUUUUAUGUAUUUUGAUAUUAUUUGAAUUGUUAUUGCCUUUAUAUUACUGCUGUAGUUUUAUUUUUUAAUUAUUUUUGUAAUUGUAAAAAUAAAUAAAUAAAUAAUGAAGACUA